rnacentral:lncRNA from 1 species
UCUGGAUUCAUACUAAAUUGUCUUGUUUAUCUCCAUAGAGUAAGAUUAGGAGCUGGAAUUGACAGAGACCAGAUUUUAACUUUUUCAAUGAUAACUUUUUCCAUAUACUUGAAAUUAAUUUUUAAAAUUAAAAGAAAAAAAAACAAUGGCCACAUUCUGAGUGACUUGGUGUGGGACAUGUGACUGAUUCUAGUUCAAUCACUGUGGCUCAGGGAAUUACAGAGUUAAUAGUUGACAUGACUGGUCCCAACUGGCUCCUGUACCCACCCCUGUGAAUCCUCGAAUCAUAAAGAGUUGGCAAAUCCUUCCAUGAUGACAUAUUUGACUGGUGAAGCUGGGCAGACAAUGCAAUACAUCUCUACAGAGAGUGCAGUGGCGUCACUACCUCCGUGGGUUUGUCUCUGCGUCACCCAUGGUGAAAUACUAUGAUCAAUGUUACUAUUACAGCGUAGGCUGAAUGCCCCAUAGCCUGGACAUCUGAAAUCUGAGCUGUUCCACGGGUGGCUGAGGUCACAACACCUUUGUUUCUGUUGCUCAGUGUUCAUGUAUAGUGUAGAUGAACUAUACAAGCAAAACUAUUUAAAAUGUUGUUUAUUAAACUUACUCAAAUAAAUUCAGGCUUAAAAUGGUG